rnacentral:rRNA from 1 species
UACGGAGGAUCCGAGCGUUAUCCGGAUUUAUUGGGUUUAAAGGGUGCGUAGGCGGAAAUGUAAGUCAGUGGUGAAAUCCUGCAGCUUAACUGUAGAAUAGCCGUUGAAACUGUGUUUCUUGAGUACAUUUGAGGUAGGCGGAAUGUGGUGUGUAGCGGUGAAAUGCAUAGAUAUACCACAGAACACCGAUUGCGAAGGCAGCUUACUAAACUGUCACUGACGCUGAUGCGCGAAAGCUGGGGUAGCGAACCGGAUUAGAUA